AAGAUUUUAAGUUAAUUUAAACUAUUAAUCUUCAAAAUUAAAUAUAUAAAAUUUAUUAUAAAUCUUA
rnacentral:tRNA from 1 species